rnacentral:rRNA from 1 species
GUGUCAGCCGCCGCGGUAAGACGAACCGUCCUAACGUUAUUCGGAAUCACUGGGCUUAAAGGGCGCGUAGGCGGAUGAGCAAGUCCGGAGUGAAAUCCUUCGGCUUAACCGGAGAAGUGCUUUGGAUACUGCUUGUCUUGAGGGAGGUAGGGGCAUGUGGAACUUCUGGUGGAGCGGUGAAAUGCGUUGAUAUCAGAAGGAACGCCGGUGGCGAAAGCGACGUGCUGGCCCUCUUCUGACGCUGAGGCGCGAAAGCUAGGGGAGCAAACGGGAUUAGAAACCCGCGUAGUCC